ensembl:lncRNA
CCGGUGUCCUGCAGAGUUUAGCUCCUCCUUGCCUCUACACACCUGCCUGGAAGUUUCAGGUAUACCUAGUAAGACCUUGAUUAGCAGGUUUGUAGCAGGUUCGGGGGUGGUUAUUUGGAAUUGAGAACCGCUGGCUUAGCCAGUGGCCCUUGCAUCACAAAAGAAGUUUACUGCAUCCUCUUUCAGUCCAUGAAUGACACUAGUUGAGACUUACUUAGACUUCACAUUAUUAUUCAUGGGUCAUGUGACCUUUUUGUUGUGAUAAAUCAACUGUCUAUGGGUUUUUACAUUCAGAGAAAUUUCUUGACAGAGCAACGAGUGCAGCAGUGAAGAGGACCUUUUAGACCUCUGCUCUCAUCUGAGAGAUUCAGAAUAUUUCAGAGACCUGCAACUUGGAUCAGCUGAACCACUAGACACACCACUUCCAGUUUUAACUGCACCUGUUUCUGCCCCUUUGGUACCUCCUGCAUCCACAUCAGAAAGCGGAUCUCGGCAUCAUCAACUUUUCCAGACAGCCGAUGCGAUUUCCACUGGAGGGGAAGCCAUGGAACGCUUGGUUGCUAUCAGAAACUCAGAACAGAAGGAAUUCCAGGAUUAUCCGGAAUCCGAUCAAGAUGAGGACUCGGACACAGAUAACUUUCCUACAUUGGUUAGAUCCAUGUCCACGUCACGUAGACACAGCUGGGAAGUGCCAGUGUCGCCGUUUGACAUGGGAAGAAGGUAAGACUCCCUUUUUCAGUGGCUCCAAAUAAAAAUAAAUGUCAGUGCCAUAACUAACUGAGAUGAUAGAAAGUCUUUGAGCAGUGCAUGAAUUCUGUCUGGUAACAUAGUCAGACUGAUAUAUGUGUGUCUGUAAACAUUGUAUGGUUAUGUUGUGUAGAUUCAGUCUAGACACAAACGGCAUUGACAGUGAUGGGGAAAGAGAGGUCCACUGUUUGGCCAAAAGUCCCCAUAUACCAUCUUGCUCCUUCUCCGAAAGCUCAGUGGAAGAAACCACCAGCGCUGUGGAAAGUGAAAUACCCCAAACACCAAAUUCAACCACACCAGCAAAGACAGAAUAUUCCAGAUCUGAGAUCCUUGCGACUGAUAAAAAAUCCCAAGCUGACAGAGUCUC